AAGUCGUAACAAGGUUUCCGUAGGUGAACCUGCGGAAGGAUCAUUACCAAAUCCAUCCAAUUACCGACCCACGUGUGAACCGAUAACAGUCUUUGGGAGCUGUGCUCUUUUGUGCGGCUCCCGCAUUUAUUUUGAACCACGUUGUCUUUUGGCAGAGUAAAAACGACCUUUUUUCUUUAUUUUCUUUUUCCUUCUGGAAAGAAAAAAAUGAGGCAAAAGGGACAAAACAACUCAAUCAAAAACAACUUUUAACGGUGGAUCUCUUGGCUCGU
rnacentral:misc_RNA from 1 species